AUGAAAGAGCUGGCCCUCAAGGAAGACGAUCUCGAUGAUGUGAUCUUCGAGGAUGAUGAUGCCCCAGCAGAGGAGGUGCUCCGCUGGAUGAUUUUAGCUCGAGUCCAUAUGGACAAGGGCUUCAGCACCUAUUGGUUCUUUCGCAACAUGAGAUCAGCAUGGGAUCUAGCCAGGCCAGUCAAGAUUAAAACUUUGGAGGAAAACCUUUUUCAGAUGCAAUUUGAUUGCUUGGGGGACUGGGAG
rnacentral:rRNA from 1 species